rnacentral:lncRNA from 1 species
UUCAAGACCAAGAGAGGGUAGAAAUUAACAAAAUAGUUCUGAAAUCUCUCAAUUUAAAAAUUUCUUAAAAUUAGAAUGAAUCUUUCCUAAAAAUCUUUUUUGAAGCUUAAAUCUGGAAUUCCAAUUCCAGAUGUUUUUUUUCAAUUUCCAUGUGCAUACAUAUUAUUUAAAACAUGUCAAACCAGAGCAUGGAUCAUGCCUAUUUAUAAUCAGCAAUGCCAGAAAGAAAGAAAAACAUUAUGAGGAAAUUUAUUCACACACAUAAGAUUCUCAGAGUAACUUGAACAGCCUGCAAAAUUCAAGAAUGCUAAGUGUAUUCAUUCAAAAGUUUCAAUGACUAAAAGUAGCUUACAGUUCAACAGUAUGUACCAUCUAUAUGGAAUAUCUCUUCCUAAACAUCUGGGAUAAUACCUAUACAAAUAAAAAGAUGAAAUUGUUAUCUUCUACUUCAUACAUGGAUUAACAGAAAGAUUUUUUGUAAAAUCUCAUUUUGAUUACAUCACUGAUAUGUUUGAAUUUCAGUUAUCUCCAAUAUCAAACUUAAACUCAUUAGUGGAAGCAAUGCAGUCCUUCUCUGCUCCCCUUCCCACCUUCUACUCACUAGCUUCUCAUUAACUCUAAUUCAGCAAGUUUUUAUUAAACAAUGAUAAUUUGCUAGACUCUGUGUGAAGUGCUACAGAAAAGGGAAGGAAAAGGAGUAGAUACUACCUCUGUAUUCUAGGAGUUACUAUUUAAUGAAGAAAAUCAAAACAUGUAUAACUAACUCAAGGCAGAAUGUGAUAAAUAACAGUCAAAUCACCCAAUAAGUCAUACGGGAGCUCAGAGGAUGGAGAGUGGCAUUCCCUUUGCGGGGAAAAACAAAAGUAUUUCAGCCUGCUGAGACUCUCUGUUGUAGCAGGUAAUUAUACUCAUGAUGUCCUGGCCAUUACUUUUCCGUUUUGUUUUUUUUUUUUUUUAAGACAGAGUCUCGCUCUUAACUCCCAGGCCGGAGUGCGAUGGCACAAUCUCCACCCACUGCAACCUCCACCUUCCAGGUUCAAGCGAUUCUCCUGCUUCAGCCUCCGGAAUAGCUGGGAUUACAGUGUGAUUUUUAUCCAGUCUGACUCAUGAGAUUGUACAUUCCUUUUGAGUAGGGAUUAUUCACAUAAAUUGCUUUGCUUCUUUUUUAGAAUUUAGCAGAAGGAGCUGCAGACAUUGGAUUCACACACUGCUUUGGAGUCUCCAGACUCAGCUCCUUCUCUUCAGCCUAUGAAGACUGCCAGCCUCCUCCUGAGUUAUCCUCCACCCCCACUCUUUGGCACCAUGGUUGCAAACUUUUCUAAAAGAAGAUGGGACGGGACAAUCUUAAUGCUUGUUUUGUUUACUUUCCAUCUUUCCAAGAUCAGUCCUCUACUGACUGAUGUCCAAAAUCUUGACACCAUCGUUUUAUAUAUUGUAUCAGGUUAUUUUUAUUUGUUUCAAGCAGGAGGGUAAAUCUAGUCCCAAUUACUCAAAACUGGCUAGAGAUGGAAGUUAUCUAUUAUGUAAUAUGGCUUUUAAACUGUCCAACAUUAUGAUCACCCUCCCUAUGACCUGCUACAGCUUGCCAAUUUUCACUUUAGAAUGUGAUACAAAAAUUUAACACAAUUUUUAGCUGCGUUCUGACUUUAAAAGCAUAAACAUUACCGCACAAUUAAAUUUUAACUUUUUGCAAAUCCACCGCUGUUUAAGUGAUAUAUUCUCUAUAUUUUUUUAUGUAGGAGGUUUUUA